rfam:Erinaceus europaeus unplaced genomic scaffold scaffold00542, whole genome shotgun sequence
AUCGCUUCUUAGCCUUCUGGCUACGACCAAGUAUAGUAUCUGCUCUUAUCAGUUUAAUCUGAUAUGUCCUCUAUCUGAGAACAAUAUAUUAAAUGGAUUUUUGGAGUAAGGAGUCGGAAUAGGGGCUUUCUCCACGCAAAUAAAACAAAAUAAAAUAAAAUAAAAAUUCACAUACCUA